rnacentral:rRNA from 1 species
GACGAACGCUGGCGGCGCGCCUAACACAUGCAAGUCGAACGAGCGAGAGAGAGCUUGCUUUCUCAAGCGAGUGGCGAACGGGUGAGUAACGCGUGAGGAACCUGCCUCAAAGAGGGGGACAACAGUUGGAAACGACUGCUAAUACCGCAUAAGCCCACGACCCGGCAUCGGGUAGAGGGAAAAGGAGCAAUCCGCUUUGAGAUGGCCUCGCGUCCGAUUAGCUAGUUGGUGAGGUAACGGCCCACCAAGGCGACGAUCGGUAGCCGGACUGAGAGGUUGAACGGCCACAUUGGGACUGAGACACGGCACAGAAUCCUACGGGAGGCAGCAGUGGGGAAUAUUGCACAAUGGGGGAAACCCUGAUGCAGCGACGCCGCGUGGAGGAAGAAGGUAUUCGGAUUGUAAACUCCUGUUGUUGAGGAAGAUAAUGACGGUACUCAACAAGGAAGUGACGGCUAACUACGUG